rnacentral:rRNA from 1 species
AGUGAACGCUGGCGGCGUGCCUAAUACAUGCAAGUCGAACGGAGUGGCGCACGGGUGGGUAAUGUAUAGCUAAUCUACCCUACACUAGAGGACAACAAAUGGUAACGACUGCUAAUACUCUAUAGUGUAGGAUGAGGCUAUAUUGUAUCAGCUAGUUUGUGAGGUAAUGGCGCACCAAGGCUAUGACGCAUAACUGGUCUGAGAGGAUGAGCCGUCGACCUGGACCUGAGGCACGGUCCAGACUUCUUCGGGAGGCAGCAGUAGGGAAUAUUGCUCAAGGGGGGAAACCCUGAAGCAGCAUCGCCGCGUGAAGUAUGACACUUUGCGGAGCGUAAACUCCUUUCGUUAGGGAAGCGGUACCUAACGAAUAAGCACCGGCUAACUCCGUGCCAGCAGCCGCGGUAAUAC